rnacentral:lncRNA from 1 species
UACAAACCCUGUCUAUAUUAUUCUAUUAUGAACCCACAUCAAAGAGCAUUGUUUAAAAUCAUUGAGCCUCACCUGCUCUGCCAUUCUGAUCUCAAGUCAGCUAUACACCUUUAGCCUCAGGUUUAAUAGUGCCGUGACCUGAAUGUUUAUAUUUCCACAAACUGUGUAUGUUGAAAUCCUAACUCCCAGUGCGGUGAUUUGGAAGUGAGCUCUUUGGGAGGUGAUUUGAUUUUGGAGACAGAGCCCUCGUCAAUAGAACUGGAACUCUCAUACAAAGACAAGAGAAAACCAACUUCCACUCUUCUUUUAAUGAAAGGGGGUAGCCAGAAGAGAUAUAAGACAAGAGUCAUGCUGAUAACCUUGGCCUUAAGCUUCUGAGAUUCAGGAACUACCCAAAAGAAACCAAAAGAAAUUGACAUCAUUUCAUCUCUCCUGGCUGGUAGAGUGUUUGUUGUGGCAUCGUGUAGGUGUGGUUUUUGGUUUUAGUUUUUGUUGUUGUUUUUUAUGUUUUUAACUUGUUCGUUUUUACUUGAGUUGAGUUUGGGCAGGACUCCAUGGGUGUUCUCCCAAGCGCCUUCCUCUUUAACUUCUACAGCACUGGCUCUGAAAGUGUCCAAAGUUUCUCCAAAGAUGUUAAGAGGACUGCUUUGCUUGGGAAGUCCUGAGAGGCAGUUUAGGAGUGCCCGCCUUUAGGAUUGAUUUGCUUCCUGGACAAGCCAGCCUUUUGGUGGGCAUGGCUCGGCAACUAUGAAGAAGAGUGAGC